rnacentral:rRNA from 1 species
GACGAACGCUGGCGGCGUGCUUAACACAUGCAAGUCGAACGAAAAUACCAAGCUUGCUUGGUUGAUUAGUGGCGAACGGGUGAGUAACACGUGAGUAACCUGCCCCUUACUUUCCUGGAUAACUGCUCGAAAGGGUAGCUAAUACGGGAUAUUCUGACCAGCCUGCAUGGGUUGGUUUGGAAAGGUUGUUUUUCUGGUAAGGGAUGGGCUCGCGGCCUAUCAGCUUGUUGGUGGGGUGAUGGCCUACCAAGGCUUUGACGGGUAGCCGGCCUGAGAGGGUGGACGGUCACACUGGGACUGCGAUACGGCCCAGACUCCUACGGGAGGCAGCAGUGGGGAAUAUUGCACAAUGGGCGCAAGCCUGAUGCAGCGACGCCGCGUGAGGGAUGAAGGCCUUCGGGUUGUAAACCUCUUUCGUCAGGGAACAAGGCACUGCUUUUUUGGUGGUGUUGAGGGUACCUGGAUAAGAAGCGCCGGCUAACUACGUG